GCAGGCUAACGCUUGAAUACAUUAGCAUGGAAUAAUGAAAUAGGACAUCGCAUUCUAUUUUGUUGGUUUCUAGGAUCGAUGUAAUGAUUAAUAGGGAUAGUUGGGGGCAUUAGUAUUCAAUUGUCAGAGGUGAAAUUCUUGGAUUUAUUGAAGACUAACUACUGCGAAAGCAUUUGCCAAGGAUGUUUUCAUUAAUCAAGAACGAAAGUUAGGGGAUCGAAGACGAUCAGAUACCGUCGUAGUCUUAACCAUAAACUAUGCCGACUAGGGAUCGGAUGAUGUUGAUUUUUUAAUGACUCAUUCGGCACCUUACGGGAAACCAAAGUGUUUGGGUUCCGGGGGGAGUAUGGUCGCAAGGCUGAAACUUAAAGGAAUUGACGGAAGGGCACCACCAGGGGUGGAGCCUGCG
rnacentral:rRNA from 1 species